UAUAAAAAACGUGAGGUAUAUCACUGAAAAGCAAGUCUCUUAUGACCAGACUGUUGCCUAAAUUUCCUUGCCAGUUUUUUGAAUGUUACAUCAUCUAAUCGUUUAGCAGUGCAGAGUCAUCAUUAACUAUGCAAGAUGCAGUGAUAGCCGUUACAGUUGAUGGCACAUUAAAGGUAUGAUUGAUUCACACUAUUACUGAGAUAAAGGAGUUGAUUGAUCUAUUUAGGUCUUCCAGUCCAUUCUCAUUGACUUAAUUGCAGACUUCUUACUAGCUCUUGUUGUUCACAGAGACUCGUGGCAGGUAAUGAUGAUAUAUUGUGUAGCUACAUGUAACAUGUAUGUCGUACAUAGUAGAUGCA